AGCAUUAGGGGAGCCCACGGCUACAAAAACAAGUGAGUGAGAAGAGGUGGGAGGAAGAGAAACUACGCCACCUCCCCUGCAGCCGAGUGCACGCAGCAGCCUGGCGUGACAAGUGGGCGACGCCGGGGGGCAGGGAGCCGGGGUCCUUGGCCCUGGCCGGGGACCCCACCGCCCACCGCGCGGAGGACAACUUUUAGCCGGCAGCCCAGACCAGCGCGGCACCUGUCUCCGGAGUCUCCACCGCUCCUCCCGAUUCAUCCCAGGGAAAUUCUCAAGAAUACGCUCUACAAAUCUACGUGCGCAUCAUUUUCACCUCGCGUCGCGCCCGGGAGGAAGGAACGAGGCAAGGAGCUAAAGCAGCGUGCGUUCAGCCCUGGGGCAUUUUAUUAAUGCUUUUACGAGUUAGAAGAGUUGGGAUAAUUUGCCAUCUGGAGUUUCUCUGCCUUGCUGAUCUGAGCUCAGACCUGCCAAUUUACCAGAGAUAAUUGAUAACACCCUGUAACAGCUGACUUUCUGUUCACGUGUCUACAUUUGAAGUUACUGCAUUCAGAAUGAAAGCCAUACAUCUGACCUCACAAUGUAAGGAUAUUCAGUUUUCUUCCUGAUAGCCUAGAAGAAGGAAAAGAAUCACAAGGUUGUAGCAUUGCCC
rnacentral:lncRNA from 1 species